rnacentral:rRNA from 1 species
CGCACCGCAAGGUGAGUGGCAGACGGGUGAGUAACGCGUGGGAACGUGCCCUUCAGUUCGGAAUAACCCAGGGAAACUUGGGCUAAUACCGGAUACGUGCGAGAGCAGAAAGAUUUAUCGCUGAAGGAUCGGCCCGCGUCUGAUUAGCUAGUUGGUGAGGUAAUGGCUCACCAAGGCGACGAUCAGUAGCUGGUCUGAGAGGAUGAUCAGCCACAUUGGGACUGAGACACGGCCCAAACUCCUACGGGAGGCAGCAGUGGGGAAUAUUGGACAAUGGGCGCAAGCCUGAUCCAGCCAUGCCGCGUGAGUGAUGAAGGCCUUAGGGUUGUAAAGCUCUUUCGGCGGGGACGAUAAUGACGGUACCCGCAGAAGAAGCCCCGGCUAACUUCGUGCCAGCAGCCGCGGUAAUACGAAGGGGGCUAGCGUUGUUCGGAAUCACUGGGCGUAAAGGGCGCGUAGGCGGCCAAUUAAGUCGGGGGUGAAAGCCUGUGGCUCAACCACAGAAUUGCCUUCGAUACUGAUUGGCUUGAGACCGGAAGAGGUAAGUGGAACUGCGAGUGUAGAGGUGAAAUUCGUAGAUAUUCGCAAGAACACCAGUGGCGAAGGCGGCUUACUGGUCCGGUUCUGACGCUGAGGCGCGAAAGCGUGGGGAGCAAACAGGAUUAGAUACCCUGGUAGUCCACGCCGUAAACGAUGAAUGCCAGCCGUUGGCGAGCUUGCUCGUCAGUGGCGCAGCUAACGCUUUAAGCAUUCCGCCUGGGGAGUACGGUCGCAAGAUUAAAACUCAAAGGAAUUGAC